rnacentral:lncRNA from 1 species
GGUAGUCAAUAGUCUCUUAGUAGCAUCCCACCAGUGUCUAGCCUCGCCUUUCAGCCUAAACGGAGCCAAAAUCAUUUUCUCCUCAUCAGUAACUCUCAUCACAUCAAAAAUCGAUUCCAUUCUUUUAAGCCAUUCUUCUGCUUCCAAUGGUUUAAUAGACCCAAAGAAAUCAGGAGGAUCGAAUUUCAAAAAUUGCAUAUGUAU